AUUGAACGCUGGCGGCAGGCCUAACACAUGCAAGUCGAGCGGAAACGAGUUAUCUGAACUUUCGGGGAACGAUAGCGGCGUCGAGCGGCGGACGGGUGAGUAAUGCCUAGGAAAUUGCCUGAUGUGGGGGAUAACCAUUGGAAACGAUGGCUAAUACCGCAUGAUGCCUACGGGCCAAAGAGGGGGACCUUCGGGCCUCUCGCGUCGGGAUAUGCCUAGGUGGGAUUAGCUAGUUGGUGAGGUAAGGGCUCACCAAGGCGACGAUCCCUAGCUGGUCUGAGAGGAUGAUCAGCCACACUGGAACUGAGACACGGUCCAGACUCCUACGGGAGGCAGCAGUGGGGAAUAUUGCACAAUGGGCGCAAGCCUGAUGCAGCCAUGCCGCGUGUGUGAAGAAGGCCUUCGGGUUGUAAAGCACUUUCAGUCGUGAGGAAGGUGGUAGUGUUAAUAGCACUAUCAUUUGACGUUAGCGACAGAAGAAGCACCGGCUAACUCCGUGCCAGCAGCCGCGGUAAUACGGAGGGUGCGAGCGUUAAUCGGAAUUACUGGGCGUAAAGCGCAUGCAGGUGGUUUGUUAAGUCAGAUGUGAAAGCCCGGGGCUCAACCUCGGAAUUGCAUUUGAAACUGGCAGACUAGAGUACUGUAGAGGGGGGUAGAAUUUCAGGUGUAGCGGUGAAAUGCGUAGAGAUCUGAAGGAAUACCGGUGGCGAAGGCGGCCCCCUGGACAGAUACUGACACUCAGAUGCGAAAGCGUGGGGAGCAAACAGG
rnacentral:rRNA from 1 species